UACGUAGGUGGCAAGCGUUGUCCGGAAUUAUUGGGCGUAAAGCGCGCGCAGGUGGUUUCUUAAGUCUGAUGUGAAAGCCCACGGCUCAACCGUGGAGGGUCAUUGGAAACUGGGGAACUUGAGUGCAGAAGAGGAAAGUGGAAUUCCAAGUGUAGCGGUGAAAUGCGUAGAGAUUUGGAGGAACACCAGUGGCGAAGGCGGCGACCUGGACGGACAUUGACGCUGAGACGCGAAAGCGUGGGGAGCAAACAGG
rnacentral:rRNA from 1 species